CGAAGAUUUUAGGAAAAUAUGAUAGAUAACUUAGGAAUUAAAAAAGGUGAAGUAUCAUAUCAUCCAGUUACAUCGAGAACUUCCGUAUUCUUGUGAUACCAUCUGGUAUGAAAUCUAUGAACUUUUCUCCUUGUGAUAGCUUAUCUACUUGUUUAAUUUCCCUUGUGCAGAAUUUCGGGAAGGAGAAGAAGAAAAGUGAUAUAGCACCAUGAAACAUGAAGUGGGAAUAAGUAGAUAAUUAUUUUAGAAAAAGUAAAGACCCGUUGCAACGUACGAGCACUUUUGCUAGUAAUAUAUAUACGCGGAAAGUACAACGACACACACAAAAAUCACCGUGGCCGGCCAGCUAGCUAGGCGUCACCGCCGGCAUGGCAACCGCCAUAUGAUUCGUCACGGCGACGAGAUCGGAGAGCGCCCUGAGGAGCUCGAUCCUCGCCCGGAGCCGCACGAUGUAGUCGGUGGUGCGGAGGAGCAGCCGGUCGGCCGGCACCGCGUUGCCGCCGGGCACCAGCCGCCGCAGCUCCCGGACCUUCCGGUCCAUCGUCUCCGCCGCGCGCCGCCGCCGCCGCCGGCGUCCUUGGCACGGCGAGCGCCGCCUCUCCUCCAUAUGCUGUAUCUGGCAACAGCUAGCUAGCGUGUGCCGGAUGAAAAUCGUACGUGCGCG
rnacentral:lncRNA from 1 species